rnacentral:tRNA from 1 species
UGGGAAGUCAGGUUAGAGCUUGAUAUAAGCAUUUUAUUUACAUUAAAAGGUUUUCUGUGUAAUUCAGUA